UCUGUGGAUUUCCUCCUUCCUUGUUACAGGGAGUCUCUUGUUUUUAUGUAUUUUUAUUGCAAUCUUCAGAAGAAGAAAAGUUUCAAGGACAAAAAAGGACAACUCCUGCAAAACAAGUUCAUCACUAAGCGAUAGUGCAAUGAACCAAACAGGAACUGUAAUUGUAAGUAAGCUACCAAAUACACCAUCACAAAACGAGAAAAUGGG